ACGAACGCUGGCGGCGUGCCUAAUCCCUGCAAGUAGAACGCACAGUUUAUACCGUAGCUUGCUACACCCUAGACUGUGAGUUGCGAACGGGUGAGUAACGCGUAGGUAACCUGCCUGGUAGCGGGGGAUAACUAUUGGAAACGAUAGCUAAUACCGCAUAAUAUUGAUUAUUGCAUGAUAAUUAAUUGAAAGGUGCAAUUGCACCACUACCAGAUGGACCUGCGUUGUAUUAGCUAGUAGGUGAGGUAACGGCUCACCUAGGCGACGAUACAUAGCCGACCUGAGAGGGUGAUCGGCCACACUGGGACUGAGACACGGCCCAGACUCCUACGGGAGGCAGCAGUAGGGAAUCUUCGGCAAUGGACGAAAGUCUGACCGAGCAACGCCGCGUGAGUGAAGAAGGUUUUCGGAUCGUAAAGCUCUGUUGUAAGAGAAGAACGGGUGUGAGAGUGGAAAGUUCACACUGUGACGGUAUCUUACCAGAAAGGGACGGCUAACUACGUG
rnacentral:rRNA from 1 species